AGUGCAAUUGCUGAGUCAUGUGGUAAGUCUAUGUUAGACUUUUUGAGAAACUACCAAACUGUUUUCCAAAGUGGCUAAGCCAUUUUACAUUCCCAGCAGCAAU
rnacentral:pre_miRNA from 1 species